rnacentral:rRNA from 1 species
GACGAACGCUGGCGGCGCGCUUAACACAUGCAAGUCGUGCGGUGUCGAAGGCAAGUCUUACGACAAGCCUUCGACACAGCGGCGAACGGGUGAGUAACACGUGAGUAGCUGUCCUAAGGAGGGGGAUAACGCCUGGAAACGGGUGCUAAUACCCCAUAUGCCUCGCAAGAGGUGAAAGUGUACUUGCUACAGCCUUAGGGUGUGCUCGCGGCCUAUCAGCUAGUUGGUGAGGUAACGGCUCACCAAGGCUAAGACGGGUAGCCGGCCUGAGAGGGUGUACGGCCACACUGGAAUUGAGAUACGGUCCAGACUCCUACGGGAGGCAGCAGUGGGGAAUCUUGGGCAAUGGGCGAAAGCCUGACCCAGCGACGCCGCGUUGGGGAUGAAGCCCUUCGGGGCGUAAACCCAUGUUGUAGGGGACGAAGAAAGUGACGGUACCCUACGAGAAAGCCCGGCCAACUACGUG